CUUGGUCAUUUAGAGGAAGUAAAAGUCGUAACAAGGUUUCCGUAGGUGAACCUGCGGAAGGAUCAUUAAAGUUUGCUUAAUUGCAUUACACAUGUUUUUUAGAGAACUUGCUUGCAAGAACACUAAUAAUUUACUUAGUCAACAAAUAAAAAUAUCAAAACUUUCAACAACGGAUCUCUUGGUUCUCGCAUCGAUGAAGAACGCAGCGAAAUGCGAUACGUAAUAUGAAUUGCAGAUUUUCGUGAAUCAUCGAAUCUUUGAACGCACAUUGCGCCCGCCAGUAUUCUGGCGGGCAUGCCUGUUCGAGCGUCAUUUCAACCCUCAAGCCCAGCUUGGUGUUGGGACUCGCGAGUCAAAUCGCGUUCCCCAAAUUGAUUGGCGGUCACGUCGAGCUUCCAUAGCGUAGUAGUAAAACCCUCGUUACUGGUAAUCGUCGCGGCCACGCCGUUAAACCCCAACUUCUGAAUGUUGACCUCGGAUCAGGUGGGAAUACCCGCUGAACUUAAGCAUAUCAAUAAGCGGAGGAAAAGAAACCAACAGGGAUUGCCCUAGUAACGGCGAGUGAAGCGGCAACAGCUCAAAUUUGAAAUCUGGCUCUCGGGCCCGAGUUGUAAUUUGUAGAGGAUACUUUUGAUGCGGUGCCUUCCGAGUUCCCUGGAACGGGACGCCAUAGAGGGUGAGAGCCCCGUCUGGUUGGAUGCCAAAUCUCUGUAAAGUUCCUUCGACGAGUCGAGUUGUUUGGGAAU
rnacentral:sRNA from 1 species